UACGAAGGGGGCUAGCGUUGUUCGGAAUUACUGGGCGUAAAGCGCACGUAGGCGGAUUUGUUAGUCAGGGGUGAAAUCCCGGGGCUCAACCUCGGAACUGCCUUUGAUACUGCAAGUCUCGAGUCCGGAAGAGGUGAGUGGAAUUCCUAGUGUAGAGGUGAAAUUCGUAGAUAUUAGGAAGAACACCAGUGGCGAAGGCGGCUCACUGGUCCGGUACUGACGCUGAGGUGCGAAAGCGUGGGGAGCGAACAGG
rnacentral:rRNA from 1 species